AUCCAGCUGACGAGUCUCGAAUAGGAAGAAAUACUUGUCCUGGAU
rnacentral:hammerhead_ribozyme from 1 species